UAGCAUUACGACAGUUUUACGUUGAAACAGGAAGUGCUGCUCCUCUGUAAUGUCGCCAGCUUUGCCUCAAAUAAUAAUAGUGUCGUUACCGGCUGUGUCCGCCAGAGGGCAGUAAUGUGUACAGUAAAGAUUUAGUGACUUUAGGGAUCAUUUUGACUGUUUUUAUGGCUAUUUUUGCUUCAGUUUGUUCAUGUUUUGUCUCAUAUUGUCACUUUAGUGACUUUAGGGGUCCUUUUGCAUGUUUUUAUGGUUAUUUUUGCUUCAGUUUGUUCAUUUUGUGCCUCGUAUUGUUACUUUAGUGACUUUAGGGGUCAAUUUGCAUGUUUUUAUGGAUAUUUUUGAUUCAGUUUGUUCAUUUUUUGUCUCAUAUUAUUACUUUAGUGACUUUAGGGGUAAUUUUGCAUGUUUUUAUGGCUAUUUUUGAUUCAGUUUGUUCAUUUUUGGUCUCACAUUGUUACUUUAGUUACUUUAGGGGUCAUCUUGCAUGUUUUAAUGGCUAUUUUAUUAUUCAGUUUGUUCAUUUUUUGUCUCAUAUUAUUAUCAUUGCAGAGGCUCAUAGGUAACGUGGUUCUGAGGCAGCCAGGAGCAGAGGCUCAUGGGUAACGUGUCUCUGAGCCAGCCAGGAGCAGAGGCUCAUGGGCUAACAGUUCCCACCUGUUGCCAGCCUUUGUGCGAAGCUCAAAGUCGGGCCAGUGGACGGCAUUUGCAGAGACUAUGCGCCUGGGAAGAGCUUCAGCUUUCAGAUCAGAGGUGACCCGGGUGCAAAAGUCAGCCUGGUGGCUGUGGACAACGCUGUGUAUCUUCUCAACAAGGACAGACUCACACAGAGGAAGCCGUGCAGUGUCCAGGCAGUACCAGAAGGAGACGCUCUGCUGAACUGUUGAAGCGUAAAGCUCAGCUGGUUGCCUGCUAAUCUUGAUUUGGAAGUAGAGGCUCAAGGAAAUGGAUAAGGAAUACUAGAGUACAGGGAAAGACAACCACGGGUUGUGACCUAUUACAAUCAGCUGCAUGAGGUGGAAGAGAAAAUGCCCUGCAAGCACUUUGAUCUCAACGUCACUUUUGAAGGAUCCAGCGGGCUCUAGGACCCAGAGACGUCAGGAUGGUGGUUCUUGAUAUCAGUCUACCAACUGGAUUCACCCCAGAAAACUCUGACCUGGAGAUGCUGUCCAAUUCAGUGCAUCGUUACAUCAGUAACUUCCAGAUUGUAGACAACCUGAGUGACAGAGGCUCCCUGAUCAUUCACCUGUUCAAAGUAACAUCACUGUGUUUAUAAUUAUUAUUCUAUAUCAUAUCAUUUUAUGUUAUUCAUAUGCUUUUCUUUUUUUCCAAGAAGCAGGUUUCUCAAUGCUCAGUAAAUAAGUCUUUAUGACCACAGUCAACAAUCUGAGGCAGUUUUAGGCUAUUACACAAAACCAGCUUAUCGGUUCCAAAGCCAUGGUUCAGAACUCAGACUUGCUAAAUCAGUGUUAGUGUAGUGCAGUGUAGGGCUGCAGCCAGAGUACUGACGAUAGUUAGCAAGAGAGAUCAUAUUUCUCCUAUGCUGGUUUCUCUUCAUUGGCUUCCUGUGAAAUGUAGAAUAGAAUUCAAAAUCCUUCUUCUGACAUAUAAAGCUCUUAACAACCACUCUCCAUCAUAUCUUAAAGACCUGAUAGUACCAUAUUAUCCUAGCAGAACUCUUCGCUCUCAGACUGCAGGCUUACUUGGAGAAGUGACCUGUAACGUCUCUCUAAAAGUAGAAUGGGAGGCAGAGCCUUCAGUUAUUAGCUCCUCUCCUGUGGAACCAGCUCCCAGUUUGGGUUCUGGAGGCGGACACCCUCUCUAAUUUUAAGACCAGGCUUAAAACCUUCCUUUUUGACAAAUCUUAUCGUUAGGACUGACUGGGGGACCCUGAGGGGGUCAGCUGGAGUCUUCCUCUUGGACGUCCCUUAGUUCUGCCCCUAGUUCUGCUGCUAUAGGCCUAGCCUGCUGGAGGACCUCUCUGGAUGCACUGAGCCCUUCUCUAUCUACCAUUAUAUUUAAUAUAUAUAUACCAUUAUUGCAUUACACUCACUCUGUUUCUCCCUGUGUCCUUUCUCCGAGUGUCCGUGAUACCAGAGCUGGAUGCUUCAGAUCUGUGGUGGUUCUCCCACCAACUGGCCUAAUCUCCAUCUGUGGGAUGCUGCUGCUGACCUUCCUCCAGCCCACUGCUUCCAGCUGCCCAUUUCCAUCAAUCUACUCUGCAUCACCCUCACUAUACUUGAUUUGCUCAUCUACAUAUUUUUGAAUUUACCACCAGCUAUAUAUGUAGUAUAUUUAAUGCCAGAGCCAUACACCAUAGCAGUAAACUAUAAUCAGUUUCCAUCCCAGAGGGAUAUAUGCGCAGAUUUUUUUAAAUACCAUGUAGAAGACUAUAUACAGGAAGAUGAGGUAUCAGUUCUUGCACAUAGAUAUACAACAGUCCUUUAUUACUCCCCAGGUCAGGGGAAAUUUCCAGUGUUGGAGCAGCAAAAAUCUUUCAGAGCAGCACUAACUACAGUUUACUACAGUAAAGAUAAUUAUAAUAACAAUAAUAUAUACAAGAAUGAAAAAUGAAUAAAUACAGUAUUACUACACUGUAAGUGACAUCAGCAUAAAGUGGCUUGUGGAAUACAUGUAAUUGUAAAAGUGCAGAAAAUGCCAGCAGUGCAAGGAGUUGUGGAGCUUUUCUCAAAACAGGUGAGUCCUGUGAAUAUGACCAAAAUAUGAGAUAAAACUACCAGAAACAUGUACAAAAUGACCAAAAUAUGAUUGGUUGAUAAUGUAUCAGUGUUGUUAUUGAUUAUUGAUCGGUUGCAGGGACAGAGAUUUGUGUCUGAGUCUCUGCUGUCAUCUAAUCUCUCUCAUGUAAGAUCAUGUCACAGGAGGGGGCGCUACUGGCCUCUUGUGGACACAGGCGGUAACGACACGACAUUAUUAUAAAGUGUAUAGCUGGCGACAUUACAGAUGAGCAACACUUCCUGUUAGUCUUCAACGUAAAAGCAUCUUUCUUUAUUGUACAUUUCAUGUCAAAAGUAUUACUAAGCGAUUUUGGUCGAUUUAGAAGGAUCUCUGGUGUAAACCAAGUCGUAUUUGACGACAGCUAGCUUCUCCACUUGCUCCAAUUACUUUUGUUGUAGUCCGAGUCACGUCCAAACAGGAAAUGAAUCCACAAUGUAGCUAAUGACAAUCUAUAGCUGCAUCUCCGUGAUGGCAGCGUUAGCGAGCUAGCAGCUAAUCAGAAGCUAGUGACAAGCUAACUCCAGCGCUACAAGCAGCGUCUCUUUAAAAGGUGCUGAUCAGGCUGUCAGGCUGAAAGAUGAGACCUGGGACAGAAAAAGGAGCUAGAGCGCUGUGUCUUGCAGAGGAUUUAUUUUAGAACUACGCAUGUUAAGGUAUUAGUCCGUGUCAUAGCAAACCCUCGUUAGCACUUCCGCUAGCUCGGCUAACACUUCCGGUCACGAAUGCAUUUGUACAUUAGCUAUAACGUGUUUAUUUUUGAACGUAUAGUGACAACAAACACAAUUUGAGACUGUCGACAAGCUAGUGGUCCUUAAAUAGAUUUUGUUUCAUACUGCAGAUUCUUCUGAGUCUCACAAAACCACGUUUUAGCAUAAUAGCAUUACGAUAGUUUUACGUUGAAACAGGAAGUGCCGCUCCUCUGUAAUGUCGCCAGCUUUGCCUCAAAUAAUAAUAGUGUUGUUACCGGCUGUGUCCGCCAGAGGGCAGUAAUGUGUACAGUAAAGAUUUAGUGACUUUAGGGAUCAUUUUGACUGUUUUUAUGGCUAUUUUUGCUUCAGUUUGUUCAUGUUUUGUCUCAUAUUGUUACUUUAGUGACUUUAGGGGUCCUUUUGCAUGUUUUUAUGGUUAUUUUUGCUUCAGUUCAUUUUGUGCCUCGUAUUUUUACUUUAGCGACUUUAGGGGUCAAUUUGCAUGUUUUUAUGGAUAUUUUUGAUUCAGUUUGUUCAUUUUUUGUCUCAUAUUAUUACUUUAGUGACUUUAGGGGUAAUUUUGCAUGUUUUUAUGGCUAUUUUUGAUUCAGUUUGUUCAUUUUUGGUCUGACGUUGUUAUUUUAGUUACUUUAGGGGUCAUCUUGCAUGUUUUAAUGGCUAUUUUAUUAUUCAGUUUGUUCAUUUUUGUCUCAUAUUAUUAUCAUAGCAGAGGCUCAUGGGUAACGUGGUUCUGAGGCAGCCAGGAGCAGAGGCUCAUGGGUAACGUGUCUCUGAGCCAGCCAGGAGCAGAGGCUCAUGGGUAACGUGGUCCUCUGUUUCCAGUCUUUAUGCUAAGCUAAGCAAACAGUUCUAACCUCUUUCCAGUCUUUAUGCUAAGCUAGGAUAGCUGUUUUCCUCUGUUUCCAGUCUUUAUGCUAAGCUAGGCUAACAGUCCUAAUCUGUUUCAUCUUUCUGCUAACCUAUGCUAACAGUUCUAACCUGUUUCCAGUCUUUAUGCUAA